rnacentral:rRNA from 1 species
GAUGAACGCUGGCGGCGUGCCUAAUACAUGCAAGUCGAGCGAACAGACGAGGAGCUUGCUCCUCUGACGUUAGCGGCGGACGGGUGAGUAACACGUGGAGAACCUACCUAUAAGACUGGGAUAACUUCGGGAAACCGGAGCUAAUACCGGAUAAUAUAUUGAACCGCAUGGUUCAAUAGUGAAAGACGGUUUUGCUGUCACUUAUAGAUGGAUCCGCGCCGCAUUAGCUAGUUGGUAAGGUAACGGCUUACCAAGGCAACGAUGCGUAGCCGACCUGAGAGGGUGAUCAGACACACUGGAAAUGAGACAAGGUCCAGACUCCUAAGGGAGGCAACAGUAGGGAAUCUUCCGCAAUGGGCGAAAGCCUGAAGGAGCAACGCCGCGUGAGUGAUGAAGGUCUUCGGAUCGUAAAACUCUGUUAUUAGGGAAGAACAAAUGUGUAAGUAACUAUGCACGUCUUGACGGUACCUAAUCAGAAAGCCACGGCUAACUACGUG